rnacentral:lncRNA from 1 species
AAAUAACUUUUCCUCAGUUGUCAAAUAUUCUAUGAUCCUUAGGAGAUCUCAGUUAAUGAGGGAAAGUCAGAGUAAUCAAUUUCUUUAUAGACUCAGACAGCUUGUAUAUAUUACAAAUAGGGCUUUAACUUGAAGUGCAGUUACUUCAAAAAAUAAAUAAAAUAAAAUUUGAAAGGCUUGUCAGGCCAGUACUUAGUGGAUUAUUGAAGGGCUUGGGCAUCAUACAGUUCAUAAAUGGUUUUCAAAGGUUUAGCAGUUUAUGUCAGAGAAAUGUAACUACUAAACAUUGAAAGAUCUCAUAACAUCCUGCAUUAUUGGUGUGUGUGUGUGUGUGUGUGUGUGUGUGUGUGUGUGUGUGUGUAUGUGUUAGUCUUCAAAUAGAAGUUAAACAGAGAUUUUUGAUUAUGUUGAGAUGAGUUUAAAAUAUAUUCUAUAUGCUUAAAUGUUCACUAUGUUGGCUAUGAAAUGUAUACUAUAAAGAAGAUACCUAUAAACCCAUACAAAUCAUAAAGGAAAUGAUUAUUAUGUUAGAAUUAUUUAUUAAAUAAGCACAGUGACUUAUAAAAUCAAAUGUAUUUUGGGGCUAUGAUCCCAUUCCCCAUGAGAAUGGAAGUUAAUCUAUUAAGUUAACUAGAAUAAAACUUAAAAUCCCCCAGGUCAGAAAAUCAGGGCAGUACCACCUUCUUGGCCUUUUGGCUGAGAACGAGUGUGGGAAAUCCAGGAGACAGACAAACCUUUUGUGUCAUACCACCUUCACAUCCUUUUUACUUAAUGCUCAAUUUGUUUCUAAGUGCAGAAGUAGAUAUGUAAGUGGCUUUCUGGUUCUAAGCUGACAUAUUUUGCCUGUUACAAACUAUGCUGCUCAAUUAGCAUUAGAGGCCUUAUGUUUGGUAAUUACAAGUGUCUGAGUUAUGUGCGUCUAUGUGUCUGUGCUUUGUUCUCUCUUUUGGAUUCGUGACUCAAAAUCUCUAUGAUGUCAGAUAUUUAAGAAGUAUAGAGGUCAAAGAAUUGUUAAAUACUCAAUAAUAACCCUAAAUACCUUUAUAUAUUUUAAAUGUGUUGGGCUGUUUGCGAAAUGAUUUUACUGGUCUGUCUGCCUUUUAACCUGACUCCUUCACUGUCAGGUAUGGAAAUCUGUUAUUAACUUUUUCAAUAAGCUAAGUAAUGUUUUAUUUUAGAAAAAAUGAUGUGUCCACUCUGAGAACUGGGGACUUACAGAGUGGGAAUGCUCUCAUCUUGGGACUUUUGAGAUUUCUCAUCUAUUCCAUUUAAUGUGUCCUUAAAUGUGUUGAAUGUAAUGUGUUGAAUGUUUAUGUGUAGUAACUAAAUUAUAUGUAUGUGCAUAAGACUGUCACAAGAUGUAUUCUCAGGAAUACUGUUACCUGGAGUUUGAAGGAAUAACUUAAAGAAAACAGUUAAGAUAAAAGUUCAAGUUAAUUGACAAACUUUUGUAAUAUUCAAAAUGUGACUAAGAACUAAUUAUCACUUUUGAUCAAUUUAUUAGUAAAAUUAGAUCAUAUCCUAAUCUGUGAUGCUAAAUAAUAAUCUCAUUCAGAGGAAAGAUAUAACAGGCACUCACUUUCCAGGUAUUAAAAAUUACAUCCAAAUUAAAAUUGCUUCUUUGGAAAGUAACUUUAUAGAGAAUCCUUGGAGUAAAAAUACAUCGUCCACGAUAGUGGGUACCCAUGUGUACUAUUCAGAUUAAAGCAGUUUAAAUCCUGGAUACAGAAUUUUCUAGAACAAACAUUUUACUUUCAUUUGCAGCAUUCAGUGUUUUCUAUAAUUCUAUUAAAUCAUUUGAUUCUUCUGACAAGAGAAGUGUGUUACUGAGUGCCUUGGAACAAGCCACUGAGAACAACAGUGUCCACGGGCACAACUGGGCACAUGGCAGUGCUGGAGGCAUCCGUUGGUUUUCUGCUUCGAGCCUCCAAGAGUAACUUAAGACAGGAUGGCGUCUCUCUUUUAGCAUCUGUUCUUUCAAUCAGUGAAGAACUUUCUCCACUUCGCUGCCCACCUCCUAGAGUUUCCGAGGAAAUAAUAGUGUAUGAAUAGAGGUCCAUAAGGAAGAAAGGGUCAUGAAUGAGUAGAAUUAUAGAACAAACCAUGAACUAAUUUCCUUCCUUGAGUUGCACAGGACACCUUACCAGAGAACUCUCCAGAAUGUGCUGCUGUCACAUAGAGUCCCACUUUUGCUCUGUGACCUCACACUACCAAUCCAUGGCCUUGUGUCUCAGCAGUGAGUAAACUGUCCCACUUCCUCACUUACUUUCGUGGGUCUCAACUGCAGCAUUUCAGAAGCAAACUUUGAUUUGACACUCAGGAGAAUAAAAACAAGUAGAGGGCAGAAUGUAUUUGGAAAAGUUUAUGAUAAAUUUAUUUAUAUUAUUUAAGGAUCAUUUAGGAUCACAAAUCUACGUACCUCCAUGAUAUUUUUAAUAGUCACUGUGACCAUGGGAUUAAAGUCCUUUAUUAGCCAUUUUGUAGGUAAAAUACAGCCAACUUCCUUCAGAUGACUAUAAAGUCUGUUAUGAAUACUGAAUGACCAAAGAGCAUGGAAAAAUGCAUCUGAAUAAAUACUGAGAUGUUUAUGAAAGAUAUUUAUGAAAGCUGAUGAUUUGUGUUUGAAUAUGCACAUAUAAUAAAGUAAAUCUAAAAUUA